rnacentral:rRNA from 1 species
GGAUUGCCCUAGUAACGGCGAGUGAAGCGGCAACAGCUCAAAUUUGGAAUCUGGCCCUUUCGGGGCCCGAGUUGUAAUUUGCAGAGGAUGCUUCGGCGUGGGCCCCGGGUUAAGUCCCCUGGAACGGGGCGUCCUGGAGGGUGAGAACCCCGUACCUAUCCGGGUGCCCUUCGCCGUGUGAAGUUCCUUCGACGAGUCGAGUUGUUUGGGAAUGCAGCUCUAAGCGGGAGGUAAAUUUCUUCUAAAGCUAAAUACCGGCCAGAGACCGAUAGCGCACAAGUAGAGUGAUCGAAAGAUGAAAAGCACUUUGGAAAGAGAGUUAAAAAGCACGUGAAAUUGUUGAAAGGGAAGCUCUUGCCGCCAGACUUGCCGCGGUUGCUCAGCCACCCUCCGGGGCGGUGUACUCUUCCGUCGGCAGGCCAGCGUCGGUUUGGGCGGCCGGAUAAAGGCCUCGGGAAUGUAGCACUCCUCGGGGUGUGUUAUAGCCCGGGGUGCAAUGCGGUCAGCCCGGUCCGAGGCACGCGAUCGCGAGGACGCUGGCGUAAUGGCUGCAAGCGACCCGUCUUGAAACACGGACCAAGGAGUCUAACAUCUGUGCGAGUGUUUGGGCGUCAAACCCAUGCGCGUAAUGAAAGUGAACGGAGGUGGGAACCCCCUUGAGGGGCGCACCAUCGACCGAUCCUGAUGUCUCCGGAUGGAUUUGAGUAAGAGCAUAGCUGUUGGGACCCGAAAGAUGGUGAACUAUUCCCGGAUAGGGUGAAGCCAGAGGAAACUCUGGUGGAGGCUCGCAGCGGUUCUGACGUGCAAAUCGAUCGUCAAAUCUAGGAAUAGGGGCGAAAGACUAAUCGAACCAU